AUACGUAGGUGGCAAGCGUUAUCCGGAUUUACUGGGCGUAAAGGGAGCGUAGACGGAAGGCCAAGUCUGAUGUGAAAGCCCGCGGCUCAACUGCGGGACUGCAUUGGAAACUGGUCAUCUGGAGGGCAGGAGGGGUAAGCGGAAUUCCUAGUGUAGCGGUGAAAUGCGUAGCUAUUAGGCGGAACACCAGUGGCGAAGGCGGAUUGCUGGACGGCAACUGACGGUGAGGCGCGAAAGUGUGGGGAGCAAACAGGAUUAGAUACCCUGGUAGUCCACACUGUAAACGAUGGAUACUAGGUGUGCGGGGACUGACCCCCUGCGUGCUGGCGUUAACACAAUAAGUAUCCCACCUGGGGAGUACGAUCGCAAGGUUGAAACUCAAAGGAAUUGACGGGG
rnacentral:rRNA from 1 species